rnacentral:lncRNA from 10 species
GUCAGCUGCUAUGACAAUGCCCGGGCGAUCGUGCCCUCCAGCGCUGCCUGCAUGCCGAGGAGGAAGCGAGUCCCCACGUGAAUAAUCGGGCUCCGCCGGCUCACAGCGGAUGUCAGAAGGUUGCUGGCAGAGGUGGUUGGGGCUAUGUGCCUGGAGUGAAGAUUCUGCCCAUUGGUCAAGAGACCUCCCUCUCAGAUGCUGGCUCUGCCCCUGCCUUUGGGGGUCGACCCUUGUACUCGCAGGACCUUAGGUGACUCUGACUUUGUCAAAGGAAAAAUUUCUGCAUGUGCACACACAGAUCUUGGAAGUUUAUUCAUCUCAGCAGAGGCAGACAGGAGCAUCAACAGCCUUGGGGACAGCAGCAGUGGUGGUAGGGCAAAAUAAAACUUAUAUGAAACUGUAAUCACUAAUGUGUGAAAAUGGAAGAUUCAGGAAGUGUUUCAUAUCUGAAAUAUGAACCCAACGUGGAAUCAACAUGCAUCCAAACAGGACUAAAUGUGCAAACCCAAGGCAAGAUUAAAACUAUAAAUAUUUAGCAAUUUGGCAAAUUGGUCAUUUUGGAGACUAGCUUUUAGCAAAUUCAUCAUAUGUUUAAUUGAUUUCCAGUAAAUUGGCUGCUUCCAUCAAGGCUGCCUUGGGUGACUAUGUCCAAGCAACCAAAUUGCUCUCUUUAAAUGCAAAAAUUAGUAAAGAUUUAUCUCUCUAAAGUAAGUUUGAAAUUCUUGCAAUAUUCAGAUUGACUUGGCAGCUAUCUGAUGGGUUACCUCUUUGUGUCCCCCUGACAUCCUUAAUGUAGACACAUAUGCAUACUAGAAUGUUGAUUCAUUAAUCCACAGAGAAAACUGUAACUACUAAGAAGACUAGAUAUUCAUGCUUGAGAAUGAGUGGUUCUGUUUUUGAUGGCAAACCUCUGACAUACAAUACAUGGUGGCCUAUUCCUACAACAUUCAGAAUAAAGAAUAAGGGAGCUGGGUGCAUUGGUGUGCGCCUGUAAUCCCAGCUACUUGGGAGGUUGAGAUGGGCACAUUGCUUGCUCCCAGGAGUUCGAGUCCAGCCUGGGCAUCAUAGUGAGACCCCCAUCUCUCUCUCUUUUUGUUUGCUCUGUUGCCCAAAGGGUCUUGUUCUAUCACCUAGGCUAGAGUGCAGUGGCACGAUCACAGCUCACUGCAGUCUCGACCUCCCAGUCUCAAGCAAUCCUCCUACUUCAGCUUCCCAAAGUAGUUGGGACUACAAGCACAUACCACCAUACCCAGCUAAUUUUUUAAUUCUUUUUUUUUUUUAUUAUUUUUUGAGAUGGAGUUUCACUCUUGUCACCCAGGCUGGAGUGCAAUGGCAUGAUCUUUGCUCACUGCAACCUCCGCCUCCCGAGUUUAAGUGAUUCUCCUGCCUCAGCCUCCCGAGUAGCUGGGAUUAUAGGCACCCACCACCACACCCAGCUGAUUUUUGUAUUUUUAGUAGAGAUGGUUUUUCACCAUGUUGGUCAGGCUGGUCUCGAACUCCUGACCUCAGGUGAUCCACCUGCCUCGGCCUCCCAAAGUGCUGGGAUUACAGGCAUGAGCCACCACGCCUGGCCUUUAAUUCUUUUUUUGUAGAGACAGGGUCUUGCUAUGUUGCUCCAGCUGGUCUCGCUCCUGGGCUCAAGUGAUCCUCCUGUCUCUGCCUCCCAAAGUACUGGGAUCACAGGCAUGAGCUACCAUGUCUGGCCCGCGUCUCUCUUAAAAAACAACAACGAAAAAAGAAUAAAAUAAUUUCACAAGAAAGCAGAAAUAUAAAGUGAGAAGUUAAAGCUGAAAAAAGCAUGAAUAGCAUAGAUUGGCGUCCCUUUCAAGUAAACCUAACGUGGUCAUAUGGCAAUGAAAUCAGAGAGAGAGGGUGGUUGUGUCUGGGAUAGAAACAAGUGCUCAAGUAGCAGAGAGAUCAAAGUAUCAGUUUUGAUUUACUUUAAUCUAGUUUGUUUACUUUUUUUCAGUUACAAAAGUAAUACAGAAAAUUAGAAAGAUUAAAGUAGUGUUAUUCCAUCACCUAAAAAUCACCACUAUGACUAUGAGGCAUUCGUUUUUUUGUUUGUUUCCAGGUGGAGUCUGACUCUGUCGCCCAGGCUGAAGUGCAGUGGCACAAUCUCGGCUCACUGCAACCUCCGCCUCCCGGGUCCAAGCCAUUCUUGUGCCUUAGCCUCCUGAGUAGCUGGGAUUGAAGGUGUGCACCACUACACCCUGCUAAUUUUGGAAUUUUUAUUAGGUUGGUGCAAAAGUAAUUGUGAUUUUGCCAUUACUUUGGCAAAAACCACAACUACUUUUGCACCAACCUAAUAUUAUAGAUGGGGUUUCACCAUGUUGCCCAGGCUGGUCUCAAACUCCUGACCUCAAGCAAUCCACCCACUUCGGCCUCCCAAAGUGCUGGGAUUACAGGCGUGAGCCACUUUUUUUUCCCACAUUAUUUUCUGUACUUUAAAAUAACACAACUGAUAACAUCAUGUAUAUUCAAUUUUAUGCCUCCUUUUUUUCACUGAAUAUUAUAACACAAGACAUUCCCCAUAUCAAGAGCUCCGCACAAAGAUGCUUUUAAGUUGCUGCUUAACACUCUAUUCUGAGGAUAUGCCAGACAUGAUCUAAUCAUUCUCAUAUUAAUCAUUUUGACAGUUUACUAUUUUUGCUGUUAUACUUAAAACUGCAGUGAAUAUCAUUGUAUAUAAAGACUCCUACUUUAGAUUCCUAGAAAUUCAAUUCUGAGCCAAAAGUAUGAACUUUUUAGUGAGAAUUUUUUCACCAGAUUAUGAGGAUUAUGUUGGCUUGCUGUAACAAUUUGGCUCUAUUUUGAUUAUUUUUAUUUAGCUUGUAUUUAGGGAAGCCAAUUUUUAGUCUCUAAAAUAGGGGUCUGUCCAUAAUGACAUCAGUCAGAGACUAUUGGAGUUGCUAGACAUGUAGGCUCUUCUCUUUUUUUGAGAAGGAGUUUUGCUCUUGUUGCCCAG